UGAUGAACAUAUCUAAACAGUUUUCUCAAUUUUUAAAUGCAAAAGUUUUUUUUGGGUUGUUAUUUGUUAAAACAAGAUGCAAACAAUGCACAUUUUUGGAUAUGGGAAAAAGGAUAUGGCAUAGCAUGUCAACUCAAUAUGAAUGUCCAAGGUGAAGCCAGUCUCAUGAGUUGACAUUCUGAAAGCAUUCCUCUGAAAUAACUGAUUGUUGCCUAGCUAAAUAUUCCAACAAAACUCUCUGCCUUAUUUUCUGAUUUGAUUUUAAUCCCAUCUUUCUCUCAGUGCUAGCCUAUGACCCAAGCCAUUGGUUAAUGGGAAGGGAGAUUAAUACCUUUGCCACCAGGACCUCUCAGUCAAAGAUCCAUCCUUGAGUGGCAACAGGGUUAGAAACCUCCCUCUCCCUGACCCCUCCACAGAGUCUUUUGUUUUUAAGUCCCAGACCCUCUUCUCUGACUUAUUUUGUUUCAGCAACUUCUUUCUCCACUUGAUGUUAUCUGGUGCAGACGGCCUCAGAGCCCUGCCCAAUCAGCUGCCAUCCAGAAAGAAGAUAAAAGACCAGUUGGCAAACUCCAGAGAAGUCACUUCCUUUUCGUCCAUCCUCACAGGCUGUUCGAUGGGGUGCAGUUUUUUCCUAGGGAUGUGGGGACCACGGAAUAUUCAGGGCUGGAUGUUAUUAGCUAGUUUUGUCAUCUUCUACUUCAGCCUAGGAGGAGAUGCUAUAAAAUGCCAAAGCUGCAUUCGUCAGCACUGGGACAAAGCAUGUCUUCCUAUUCAGAACACAUGUGAAAUUGCCAGUGCAACAGCUGUCUGCGGCGUCAAGAAGCACACUAAGUAUAGAGCAGACGGAAAAGUUUUAUCGGUGGCAAAGUGGAAGGACUGUUAUGUGGACAAAAGUGACUGUGAGAAGAAGUUGAAAUUAUCAUAUGAUCCAAAAACAAUGGAAAUCAAAUGCUGUUCCAAUGAGGACUUUUGCAAUGGCAACGUGUAGUUGGAGUUAACGCCAGUGUAACACAGAAGGACUAUUGACCUAACAACCCUGGACCUUGUCUUCUUUCUCCUGACUUUGUCCUGAGGAAGGCAUAAUAUGUAUAUGUAUAAUUUCAGACUUUUUAUUUAGCAUUGCUUCUCUCUGAUUCUUUGUAUAAUCAUCCCAUUUUAAGUCCCCCCCAAUAAAAGAAUGACAUGAAAAUGCA
rnacentral:lncRNA from 1 species